rnacentral:rRNA from 1 species
UAUUGGACAAUGGGCGAAAGCCUGAUCCAGCCAUGCCGCGUGUGUGAAGAAGGUCUUCGGCGUGUAAAGCACUUUAAGUUGGGAGGAAGGGCUUUAGGCUAAUACCUUGAAGCUUUGACGUUACCAACCGAAUAAGCACCGGCUCACUCUGUGCCAGCAGCAGCGGUAAUACAGAGGGUGCAAGCGUUAAUCGGAAUUACUGGGCGUAAAGCGCGCGUAGGUGGUUCAGUAAGAUGGGUGUGAAAUCCCCGGGCUUAACCUGGGAACUGCUUUCAUAACUGCUGAGCUAGAGUACGGUAGAGGGUAGUGGAAUUUCCUGUGUAGCGGUGAAAUGCGUAGAUAUAGGAAGGAACACCAGUGGCGAAGGCGACCACCUGGGCUAAUACUGACACUGAGGUGCGAAAGCGUGGGGAGCAAAC